AAAUUUCGUUCUAAGAAGUUUAUAUCUCGCAUGAUGGUAGUAGCUAAAGUUAAACUUAGCUAGCUUUAAGUGCGUAGUCGAAACUGGAAGGUUGAUCGACCACAGUGGGCCUGAAGAAAGCCCAUGAUGAAUAUCUCAGCAGUGAGGAAUAUUGGUCAAUAGCCUAACGGCUGAACCAGCAACUUGCAAGAAUGUAUAGCAAUAGCUAUUUGCACUAAAAAAUGUUUAGUGUGAAAUCGACUAUGUCGAAUAAAAUUCUGGGUAGAAUUAUGAUAAUGACAUUAGCUAUUCAUAAGUCUUGACCAAAUUACGUGCCAGCAGUCGCGGCAAUACGUAGAAGCCAAGUGUUAUUCAUCUUUAAUAGGUUUAAAGGGUACUUAGACGGUAAAUAAAGCCUUUAAAGGGUACUAGUUUGCUAGAGUUUUAUAUGAAGGGGUUUUAAAGUACUGCUGGUGUAGAGAUGAAAUUCAGUUAUACCUUACAUGGCACAGGUUAAGGCGAAGGCAUCUUCUUAUGUAAAAACUGACGUUGAAGGACGAAGGCUUUGUGUCUCGAACAGGAUUAGAUACCCUAGUAGUCUAAGCAGAAAAUGAUGAAUGUCAUAGAUUAGAUGUAAUUUGAUCUAUAAAUGAAAGUGUAAGCAUUCCACCUCAAGAGUAAUUUGGCAACAUUGGAACUGAAAUCAUUAGACCGUUUCUGAAACCAGUAGUGAUGUAUGUUGUUUAAUUUGAUAAUCCGCAAAAAACCUUACCACAACUUGAAUAGAUAUAUUUUAUCAUACAAGCGCUGCACGGCUGUCUUUAGUUAAUGUCGUGAGACUUUGGUUAGUUCCAUUAAAUUAACGUAAACCCUUACUUUAUUUUUAUAUAAAGUAGUUCACCGCUAUAUUGGAUGUGAUAACAGGGAUCAAGACAAGUCAUCAUGGCCUAAAUAUUGUGGGCUAUAGACGUGCCACAUAUGCCUUACAAAGGGAUGCUA
rnacentral:rRNA from 1 species